rnacentral:rRNA from 1 species
AUUGAACGCUGGCGGCAGGCCUAACACAUGCAAGUCGAGCGAGCGGCGGACGGGUGAGUAAUGUCUGGGAAACUGCCUGAUGGAGGGGGAUAACUACUGGAAACGGUAGCUAAUACCGCAUACCAUCAGAUGUGCCCAGAUGGGAUUAGCUAGUAGGUGGGGUAAGGGCUCCCCAAGGCGACGAUCCCUAGCUGGUCUGUGAGGAUGACCAGCCACACUGGAACUGAGACACGUUCCAGACUCCUACGGUAGGCAGCAGUGGGGAAUAUUGCACAAUGGGCGCAAGCCUGAUGCAGCCAUGCCGCGUGUGUGAAGAAGGCCUUCGGGUUGUAAAGUACUUUCAGCGGGGAGGCGUUACUCGCAGAAGAAGCACCGGCUAACUCCGUGCCAGCAGCCGCGGUAAUUC